rnacentral:rRNA from 1 species
UACAGAGGUCUCAAGCGUUGUUCGGAUUCAUUGGGCGUAAAGGGUGCGUAGGCGGCGCGGUAAGUCGGGUGUGAAAUCUUGGAGCUUAACUCCGAAACUGCAUUCGAUACUGCCGUGCUUGAGGACUGGAGAGGAGACUGGAAUUUACGGUGUAGCGGUGAAAUGCGUAGAUAUCGUAAGGAACACCAGUGGCGAAGGCGGCUCACUGGCCCGGUACUGACGCUGAGGUGCGAAAGCGUGGGGGAGCAAACAGG